GUCAAAGUGGGUAGAUCUAGAAAUCUAGGCCUAGCCUAGGCAUUGAAUAUUGAUCUAGGCUAGGACGAUGUAGAUCUAAUUGUAAAUCUAUUCAUUUAAUAACGAUUCUGUCAAUAAUUAUAGAGUCUAGAUCUAGUUUAUAUACCAAUAGCAUAGUAUAAUCCGUAUAUUAUAUAGAAGUACAAAUAGACAGGUAGUAACUUAUAGAUUUAUAAUAGAUAGAGAUACAUAUAUAUAUUUUAUAUAGAUAUAUAUAUUAUAUAUAUUAAUAUUAUAUAUAUAUAACCAGUAGAAGUACAGAUCUAUAAUCUAUUGUAGUCUAUUACUAGUAUUCUAUAGUUACAUAGACUCAUUCUAUUAGACUGUUAGACAGUUACUAUUAGAUCUGUCAUAUUUUAUACCUCGGUAUAUACCAAAUUAUUCUAGUAAAUAAUAGAUGUUAUAUAUAGGCCUAAUAUAUACAUUUUAUUUUAUAUUUUAUACAGUUUGCAUUUCAUUUCAAAAAAAUUAAUUGUAAACUUUCAGAUCUGCCAUUAACAUUUUCAAGACGAAGUAUCAUGGACAGUAUUGAAGGAUGACGUACUAUAAAGGAAUACUCUAAAAUCUGCCGUUAACAUUUUGAAGACGAUGAAGUAUUGUGGACUAGCUACUACACAUGAAAGAGUAGAGAGUGCAUUAAAAAAAGUGUUAAGUCUCAGGAAGUCGCAGGAUGGCUGCCUGGUCUUGUGGUUUGCGCGCUGGACUGUCGUUUGGAUUUAUCGAUGUCUCUGGUUCAAACCCUGCCCGCUCCCAUCCCCUGUCGUCAACUCUGAAGGAACAUCCGAAACAUGUCAAACAUACAAGGAUAUAAUAGUAAAAAAAAACAUAUCAGUGAUUUCAGUGAAUUUCAAGAUAGUGUAAGAGGAGUGUAUGAUUUAUGUACAUUGUAAAGGUUCUGGUCCAGUUAAGGUAGUAUAUAUAUAUUCUAUUGUUCUUGGUACAUCUCUUUGACGAUGUUUUUUUUUAAACAAACAGAAGUAUUUGGUAAAGGUGAUAAGCUACUUCUUAAAACUGUAUCCUACAUUUAUGAAAUUAUUAAUUUGUUAGAACUCAUAGAACAAUAUUCUACAAAAACUUUUACCAACAAUACUAACAGUUUUUAAAUGCUAUUAAAGAAAACACUAAGUACACAAAUACAAAAAAUGACAAUGAAAUAAAUAUAUUAAAUUGACUUAAACCAAACAGGAUUAAAUAAGAAGACCAUGUCACUUUUUAUGGACUAUCUAAAUUAAGUAUUGUCUACCCACAUCCUGCAGAUUCCUGCUCAUAUAAGUUAUUGACCAUGUACACUACAUAUAUUUAAAGGUUUAAGAUACAGUGGGAUAAAUCAAAAAGAUGAAAAUAUUUCUUUUAUCUUUCCUAAUUUUAAUGAUUCAUCAAAACAUCAUAAAGGUUCUCUGUAAGUCUAACUGUUAGAUGUUAUAUUAUGGGUAAUUAUCUUGUUUUUUGAAGUAACUUGUGUAAUCUAUAAGAUAAGAUAUGUUGCUGGUUAUUGUGUUCAUGUGGUUCUAAAGAAAUUUAAUGACUGCAUGACUGGGGAUGGGAGCGGCCAGGGUUUGAACUUGGGACCAUCAAUAAAUCUAAGCGACAGUCCGGAGCGCAAGCCGCUCAACCAGGCAGCCAUCCAUAUAUAUAUAAUAUAUAAUUUAAAUAACAUUAACAUUAUAUGAGCAAACCGCUUGAACAGGCAGCCAUCCAUAUAUUUAAAUCACAUUAACAUUAUAUGUAAUCAUUGUAUUUUUAAAAUGUGUAUUGUAAAUUAUUGCAAUUUUUUUUUCCAUAUGUUCAUUAAGCAAUUGCAAUAAAAACUUAACUCAUUAAAGUGGUAUCCUUUGUCUGCAAAUAAAAUUGCUAUAUAACACCACA